CCUACGGGUGGCAGCAGUGGGGAAUAUUGCACAAUGGGGGAGACCCUGAUGCAGCGACGCCGCGUGAGUGAAGAAGUAUUUCAGUAUGUAAAGCUCUAUCAGCCAGGAAGCAAAUGAGGGUACCUGAUUAAGGAGCCGCGGCUAACUACGUACCAGGAGCCGCGGUAAUACGGAGGGAGCAAGCGUUAUCCGGAUUUAGUGGGUGUAAAGGGAGCGGAGACGGCAGCACAAGUCUGGAGUGAAAGGCCGGGGCUUAACCCCGGAACUGCUUUGGAAACUGGGCAGCUAGAGUGCAGGAGAGGUAAGUGGAAUGCCUAGUGUAGCGGUGAAAUGCGUAGAUAUUAGGAGGAACACCAGUGGCGAAGGCGGCUUACUGGACUGUAACUGACGUUGAGGCUCGAAAGCGUGGGGAGCAAACAGGAUUAGAUACCCCGGUAGUC
rnacentral:rRNA from 1 species